UACGUAGGGGGCAAGCGUUGUCCGGAAGCAUUGGGCGUAAAGCGCGCGUAGGCGGCUCGAUCAGUCUGCUGUAAAAGUCAAAGGCUCAACCUUUGAAAGCCGGUGGAUACUGUCGAGCUAGAGUCCGGAAGAGGCGAGUGGAAUUCCUGGUGUAGCGGUGGAAUGCGCAGAUAUCAGGAGGAACACCAACGGCGAAGGCAGCUCGCUGGGACGGUACUGACGCUAAGGCGCGAAAGCGUGGGGAGCGAACAGG
rnacentral:rRNA from 1 species